rfam:Bacteroides faecichinchillae strain DSM 26883 genome assembly, contig: Ga0131157_155
GAAGCUUUGGCGUAAUUGGUAGGCGCGCUCAAUAUCAGAGUUGGUUCAGUGGAAAUCUGUAUAUGAGUAUCGUAGGACUCUUCGAGAAAGUAGACACUCAGUGCAGGUUCGAGUCCUGCAAGCUUCA